rnacentral:rRNA from 1 species
GAUUAUGGCUCAGGACGAACGCUGGCGGCGUGCUUCAUACAUGCAAGUCGAACGAGAAGCUGACUUCGGUCAGUGGAAAGUGGCGGACGGGUGAGUAAUGUGUAGAGAAUCUGCCCUUGAGUGGGGGACAACAGAGGGAAACUUCUGCUAAUACCCCAUAUGAGCUUAGUUGAAAUACUAAUCUUGAAAACUCCGGUGCUCAAGGAUGAGUCUGCAUCUGAUUAGCUAGUUGGCGGUGUAAUGGACCACCAAGGCGACGAUCAGUAGCUGGUUUGAGAGGAUGAUCAGCCACAAUGGGACUGAGACACGGCCCAUACUCCUACGGGAGGCAGCAGUAGGGAAUUUUGCGCAAUGGGCGAAAAAGCCUGACGCAGCAACGCCGCGUGAACGAUUAAGCCCUUCGGGGUGUAAAGUUCUGUCAGUAGGGACGAAUCUUGACGGUACCUACAGAGGAAGCACCGGCUAACUCCGUGCCAGCCGCGGC